rnacentral:rRNA from 1 species
GUCAGAGUUUGAUCCUGGCUCAGAUUGAACGCUGGCGGAAUGCUUUACACAUGCAAGUCGAACGGUAGAGGGGGCAACCCCUUGGAGAGUGGCGAACGGGUGAGUAAUAUAUCGGAACGUGCCCAGUCGUGGGGGAUAACGGUAGCGAAAGUUACGCUAAUACCGGCAUACGAUCUAAGGAUGAAAGCGGGGAUCGCAAGGACCUCGCGCGAUUGGAGCGGCCGAUAUCAGAUUAGGUAGUUGGUGGGGUAAAGGC